GGUGUCACCAUAAUCCAAGACUUCAAAUCUAAUACCUUACCAUUCUGUUAACGACAUUAAUCCCUCUUUAAUUAUUUUUCAUUUGUAAUACAACUGGCAUGGUAUUAUUAUAAGUAACAGUGAUGAAAUCUAAUGGCCAAAUUCACCAUCACAAUCAGACCUCUGACUCUUUUAACUACUUUCAUUCACUUAUCCUUGUAUUGACCUCAAGUUAUUAUGAAACUAGAAAAAAAUACUUUUUUUUGCUUUCAUUUCCUGAACAUUUAGGGAAAUUACCCCAAAACAAUCCCAGCCUUUCCUUUGUACAAUUUCAGAAAGAUCUGUACACUUACACACAAGUUAUUGUCUGGAAACAAGAAAAAUGUUUAUUUGGACACCCUUUUUGGCCCCUAAUUCCUGAACUGUUGUGCCCAUAACCCCCAAAAUCAAUCCCAACCUUCCUUUUAAAGUUUCAAACCUUGUGUUUAAAUUUUAUAGAGAUCCAUUCACUUAAACUAAAGUUAUUGUCCAGAAACCAAGUGUCUUCUGAUAAUUGUGAUGACGUCGACAAUGACCACAUGAUACCAAUAUAUGUCUGCCAAAAAUAUUUGCUGUCGUAUAAAAAGUGGCAAGGAUAGUACACUGUUAAUGGAGUAUAAAAACAAAAUAUGAGUUUUAAUCUGAUUCACAUUUAAUGACAAUAGAUAAUUUAGUUUACAUUAUAUACAAUGUAUACAAUCGUAACAUAGACUGGUUAACUAAUAUUUACAAUUAAAUACAUGGCAAGCUCUAAAACAUUAACCCAACAACUGGAUAAUUUUGGUUUUCUAUACAUAAAAACAUGGUUCAUGCAAUCAUCUUUCUUAUCCGAUAUAUCAUACUCAAUUUUAAGGGGAAAAAAAUACGAUUUUUUUUUUUAACCAACUUAACUUUAACGGUUUUGUGGGUUUUUGUUAGUGUUUGUUAAGGAUGUACACCUCUGAGGAGCCAAAAAUUUCUAGAAUUAAACUUUUUUUCUUAACCAGAUUUUAGGGUUUAUAAGACUGUAACAAAAUAAUUGGUGAAGAAAAAAACAUAUGGUGGUGCACUUCUUUUUUUGCUACAGCCCUUUGAAAAAUGCCCAAUUUUGAUGAUUUUCCCAUUUUCGUCGAUUUUUACCUAUUUUUGGGCUAUUAUCAUGAAAAAAAUCACAGUUCCACAAUUAAACUUUUUUUCAUACUUUCUAUAAAGAUGAAGUGGACCAAUCUGAAUAAAAUUUACUUAAAAAAACUAUAGGUAGGUGUUAAUAUAAGAAAGUUUUAUCAUAUUUUGACGCUUUUUUGUGUUAAAUUUACCAUGCUGUCAAUUUUGUAUUUUUGUGAUUAUUCUCAGUUUAAAGAAAAAAAUACAUAUAAGUUCAACUUUUUUGUUAUAAAUAAUUGAAAAAAUACAUAUCUAAGAAAUUUGAAAAGACCAAAAAAGGUAUGGGAUGUACAUGGUUCUUGUAAAAUAAAUUUUUGUAUCCCUAGCCCAUUUUCUCAAAAUUUUGGCUAAAAAUACUGACUUGAUUGGUCGUAAAAUUUGAAAACUGGAUUACUCAAAAACCAUGCAUUGUAAAUACACAAUUUUUUCACAGAGUUAUAUUUGAUUAUAAUAUUUUUAAAAUUCAUUGAUAUUUUCCACUUGUAUCACAUGUUUUGGAAAUAAUUCAAGAACGAGAUUUCAACGAGACUGAACGAGACUGAAAAGUCAGAAGAAUACAUCCUUAAAUUGUUUAAAUUUUUUUUCUUGUAGGCAUACAACUUAUAUCUGUCUUUUGCAAUGUUUUAAGAUAUCCAUGAAAUUAGCUGGCAAACUGAUUACCAGGUAUCCUUCAUUGGUAAAAAGUGUUCUAAAUUUUGAUUAUAACUGAAAACUAAAUAAAUGUCAUAUAAUUUAAAAAAAAAUUUAACAGUUAAAAUUCAUGUUAAACAUGAUUAAGGAUGUAUUCUUCUGACUUUUCAGUCUCGUUCAGUCUCGUUGAAAUCUCGUUCUUGAAUUAUUUCCAAAACAUGUGAUACAAGUGGAAAAUAUCAAUGAAUUUUAAAAAUAUUAUAAUCAAAUAUAACUCUGUGAAAAAAUUGUGUAUUUACAAUGCAUGGUUUUUGAGUAAUCCAGUUUUCAAAUUUUACGACCAAUCAAGUCAGUAUUUUUAGCCAAAAUUUUGAGAAAAUGGGCUAGGGAUACAAAAAUUUAUUUUACAAGAACCAUGUACAUCCCAUACCUUUUUUGGUCUUUUCAAAUUUCUUAGAUAUGUAUUUUUUCAAUUAUUUAUAACAAAAAAGUUGAACUUAUAUGUAUUUUUUUCUUUAAACUGAGAAUAAUCACAAAAAUACAAAAUUG
rnacentral:lncRNA from 1 species